rnacentral:rRNA from 1 species
ACGCUGGCGGCGUGCCUAAUACAUGCAAGUCGAGCGGACAGAUGGGAGCUUGCUCCCUGAUGUUAGCGGCGGACGGGUGAGUAACACGUGGGUAACCUGCCUGUAAGACUGGGAUAACUCCGGGAAACCGGGGCUAAUACCGGAUGCUUGAUUGAACCGCAUGGUUCAAUUAUAAAAGGUGGCUUUUAGCUACCACUUACAGAUGGACCCGCGGCGCAUUAGCUAGUUGGUGAGGUAACGGCUCACCAAGGCAACGAUGCGUAGCCGACCUGAGAGGGUGAUCGGCCACACUGGGACUGAAACACGGCCCAAACUCCUACGGGAGGCAGCAGUAGGGAAUCUUCCGCAAUGGACGAAAGUCUGACGGAGCAACGCCGCGUGAGUGAUGAAGGUUUUCGGAUCGUAAAACUCUGUUGUUAGGGAAAAACAAGUACCGUUCGAAUAGGGCGGCACCUUGACGGUACCUAACCAAAAAGCCACGGCUAACUACGUGCCAGCAGCCGCGGUAAUACGUAGGUGGCAAGCGUUGUCCGGAAUUAUUGGGCGUAAAGCGCGCGCAGGCGGUUUCUUAAGUCUGAUGUGAAAGCCCCCGGCUCAACCGGGGAGGGUCAUUGGAAACUGGGGAACUUGAGUGCAGAAGAGGAGAGUGGAAUUCCACGUGUAGCGGUGAAAUGCGUAGAGAUGUGGAGGAACACCAGUGGCGAAGGCGACUCUCUGGUCUGUAACUGACGCUGAGGCGCGAAAGCGUGGGGAGCGAACAGGAUUAGAUACCCUGGUAGUCCACGCCGUAAACGAUGAGUGCUAAGUGUUAGAGGGUUUCCGCCCUUUAGUGCUGCAGCAAACGCAUUAAGCACUCCGCCUGGGGAGUACGGUCGCAAGACUGAAACUCAAAGGAAUUGACGGGGGCCCGCACAAGCGGGGGAGCAUGGUGGUUUAAUUCGAAGCAACCAAA